AUACGGAGGGUGCAAGCGUUAAUCGGAAAUACUGGGCGUAAAGCGUACGUAGGCGGUCCGUUAAGUUAGAUGUGAAAGCCCCGGGCUUAACCUGGGAACUGCAUUUAAAACUGGCGAACUAGAGUUGAGUAGAGGGGAGUGGAAUUUCAGGUGUAGCGGUGAAAUGCGUAGAGAUCUGAAGGAACACCAGUGGCGAAGGCGACUCCCUGGACUCGAACUGACGCUGAGGUACGAAAGCGUGGGUAGCAAACGGGAUUAGAUACCCCAGUAGUCC
rnacentral:rRNA from 1 species